GCAUUGGUGGUUCAGUAUUAGAAUUCUCACCUUCCAUGAAGGAGAUCCAGGUUCAAUUCCUGGCCAACACA
rnacentral:tRNA from 1 species